GUGAGGAAUAUUGCGCAAUGGAGGAAACUCUGAUGCAGCAACGCCGCGUGGAGGAUGACGCAUUUCGGUGUGUAAACUCCUUUUAAGAGGGAAGAUUAUGACGGUACCUCUUGAAUAAGCACCGGCUAACUCCGUGCCAGCAGCCGCGGUAAUACGGAGGGUGCAAGCGUUACUCGGAAUCACUGGGCGUAAAGGACGCGUAGGCGGGUUGAAAAGUCAGGUGUGAAAGCCUACAGCUUAACUGUAGAACUGCACUUGAAACUCUCAAUCUAGAGUAUGGGAGGGGGAGAUGGAAUUAGUGGUGUAGGGGUAAAAUCCGUAGAUAUCACUAGGAAUACCUAAAGCGAAGGCGAUCUCCUGGAACAUAACUGACGCUAAGGCGUGAAAGCGUGGGGAGCAAACAGGAUUAGAAACCCCGGUAGUCC
rnacentral:rRNA from 1 species